UCAAAUCAUAUUUCUGUUUGGUUACUUUUGCCUCAUUUUACUGAGAUGGCUAGUGCAAUAUGCAUCUCACUAAUGAGGUUUUUUUUUGUUUUUCGAUCUAUUCAUGAAUGCAUUAUGCAGUGGACAGGAAAAGGGGGGUACAUACGGAUGAACUUUCACGGCAGCUAAAAUUUCCUGUGGAGAAGAUCAUGGAAUCUAUUAGGUCUCUUGAAGAGGAGGGUUUGAUAUACUCCACCAUCGACGAGUUUCACUACAAGUCAACUCAAUGUGGUUGAUACACUUUGAGGAUUGUUAGGGUUUGGUGUUAGGGCCAUACAUAAUGAGUGUCCUUUGCUGUUUUAUGUUUCUUAUAUUUGGUCUAAAGAGUGUGUAGAUAGAUAUCUAGUUGGAUGCGUUUUAAUUGAGCAAAGACUUUUAUAUAAUUGCAACCGAAAACUGUAUUAAUGCUAUUUUCUUAAACUAAUUUUGUAAAUUGUU